CCGAGCUACAAAUCUCCUCAUCACAUCACAAAUCCUAUGGCAUGCUAUUUGUAUCCAAUCUAGUCCGAUAAGUUAAUAGGGUAUUCGAAUCACAUUUCAAUUCAAUCACUUUCUAUUACUUUCAAUUCCAAUUUAAUCACAAUUUAAUUCAAUACAUUUUUCAUCUUCCAAUCAGUAUACCAUCAAAUGCUCGUACAUAUUCAUACUUCAUUUUAAUUUCAUUCAAUUCACAUACGAUUCAAUAUCAUUUAAUUAAAU
rnacentral:lncRNA from 1 species